AGAGUUUGAUCCUGGCUCAGAUUGAACGCUGGCGGCAUGCCUAACACAUGCAAGUCGAGCGGCAGCAGGUCCUUCGGGAUGCUGGCGAGCGGCGGACGGGUGAGUAACACGUGGGAAUCUGCCCAUCGGUGGGGGAUAGCCCGAGGAAACUCGGAUUAAUACCGCAUACGCCCUACGGGGCAAAGUAGACCUCUGAUUUAAGUUUACGCCGAUGGAUGAGCCCGCGGCCGAUUAGCUAGUUGGUGGGGUAAAGGCCUACCAAGGCGACGAUCGGUAGCUGGUCUGAGAGGACGAUCAGUCACACCGGAACUGAGACACGGUCCGGACUCCUACGGGAGGCAGCAGUGGGGAAUAUUGGACAAUGGGCGAAAGCCUGAUCCAGCAAUGCCGCGUGGGUGAAGAAGGCUUGAGGGUUGUAAAGCCCUUUCAGCAGGGAGGAAAAGCGUACGGUUAAUACCCGGGCGUCUUGACGUUACCUGCAGAAGAAGCACCGGCUAACUCCGUGCCAGCAGCCGCGGUAAUACGGAGGGUGCAAGCGUUAAUCGGAAUUACUGGGCGUAAAAGCGCGCGUAGGCGGUCGGAUAAGUCGGAUGUGAAAGCCCCGGGCUCAACCUGGGAAUUGCAUUCGAUACUGUCUGGCUAGAGUUUGGUAGAGGGUGGUGGAAUUCCAGGUGUAGCGGUGAAAUGCGUAGAUAUCUGGAGGAACAUCAGUGGC
rnacentral:rRNA from 1 species